UUAAAUGAGAGUUUGAUCCUGGCUCAGGACGAACGCUGGCGGCGUGCCUAAUACAUGCAAGUUGAACGCUUGAUUUUCACCGAAGCUUGCUUCACCGAAAAUCAAGAGUAGCGAACGGGUGAGUAACGCGUGGGUAACCUACCUAUCAGCGGGGGAUAACUAUUGGAAACGAUAGCUAAUACCGCAUAACAAUGUUGGAUGCAUAUUCGACAUUUGAAAGUACCAACUGGUACACUGAGAGAUGGACCCGCGUUGUAUUAGCUAGUUGGUAGUGUAAUGGACUACCAAGGCGAUGAUACAUAGCCGACCUGAGAGGGUGAUCGGCCACAUUGGGACUGAGACACGGCCUAAACUCCUACGGGAGGCAGCAGUAGGGAAUCUUCGGCAAUGGACGAAAGUCUGACCGAGCAACGCCGCGUGAGUGAA
rnacentral:rRNA from 1 species